GAUGGUGUGACUGUCAACUUCUUCUUUUUUGGUUCUGCAUUUCAUUUGCAUCAUGACACAUUGCACCCAAGAAAUUUACUUGUCAUUCUUUUAGACCGUCUGUUUAUCUUGGAGUUGGCUGCUACCCAGUUGUAUUUAAUCUUGACAAACUUGUUUGCUUUGCAGGCUCCAAACAAGGACAGCAGCUGCAGUGUCAGAAAAUGCCAUAGUUCUGAGUUUUAAAUUGAGGGUUUAAAGCAGAACAGCAGCUACAGUGUCAAAGCUCCAGAGUUUAAACUCAAGAGUCAUUACUGGAUACUUACUAGCAGGAUCUGCCAUUGGACCCAAAGGCUUGAAUUUUGUCAGUGAAAUAGUCCAAGAGGCUUGUCUUUAUUCCUAUUUUGCUUGAUUGAUUCUUUCUUUGCGCUUCCCCUAUUGAUUGUUUCUUCAGGAUUAUGUUUUCAGUUGUUCCAUUUGCAGAUUCAAAAUCAUGAAUACUCAUGUUAUACUAGAUUCAAAAUCACGAAUACUCAUGUUAUACUAGUUCGGUCUUUUGCCAUUCAGUAUAGGUGGAUCUAUAAUUUUCUUGUCAUUAAUUUAUGUGUGUUUACAUUUGGUAAAGUCCAGUUAUAUUAGUAUUGAGAUUCACUGCCUUUUUAGUACCUUUUAAGCUCAGUCAUGUCGGUAUUUCUUUUUUUUGAGUUUAGUAAUACCAGAAAUCACUGUCAUUAGGUUUAUGUUGCACUGUGAAACUGACUUUGUCAUUCUCUUGCAGGGCCUUGGAUUACAAGUUGUGAAAUAUUUGGCUGCCAAAUAUGAAGAGCUAGGGUGUGAAGUGAAAUGGAUGGGCAGGCCUGAUAAGGUGAUCUAGUCACAUUGGUCUGGUUA